rnacentral:rRNA from 1 species
GACGAACGCUGGCGGCGUGCUUAACACAUGCAAGUCGAACGGAAAGGCCCUGCUUUUGUGGGGUGCUCGAGUGGCGAACGGGUGAGUAACACGCGUGUAACCUGCCCUUGUCUUUGGGAUAACUUCAGGAAACUGGGGCUAAUACCGGAUAGGAUCUCCUGCUGCAUGGUGGGGGUUGGAAAGUUUCGGCGGUUGGGGAUGGACUCGCGGCUUAUCAGCUUGUUGGUGGGGUAGUGGCUUACCAAGGCUUUGACGGGUAGGCGGCCUGAGAGGGUGACCGGCCACAUGGGGACUGAGAGACGGCCCAGUCUGCUACGGGAGGCAGCAGGGGGAAGUAUUGCACAGUGGGCGGAAGCGUGUUGCAGCAGCGCCGCGUGCGGGAUGACGGCCUUCGGGUUGUGAACCGCUGUCGCCUGAGACGAAGCGUGAGUGACGGUAAUGGGUAAAGAAGCACCGGCUAACUACGUG